UGGGGAAUUUUGGACAAUGGGCGAAAGCCUGAUCCAGCAAUGUCACGUGUGUGAAGAAGGCCUUCGGGUUGUAAAGCACUUUUGUCCGGAAAGAAAUCCUUGGCUCUAAUACAGUCGGGGGAUGACGGUACCGGAAGAAUAAGCACCGGCUAACUACGUGCCAGCAGCCGCGGUAAUACGUAGGGUGCAAGCGUUAAUCGGAAUUACUGGGCGUAAAGCGUGCGCAGGCGGUUUGCUAAGACCGAUGUGAAAUCCCCGGGCUCAACCUGGGAACUGCAUUGGUGACUGGCAGGCUAGAGUAUGGCAGAGGGGGGUAGAAUUCCACGUGUAGCAGUGAAAUGCGUAGAGAUGUGGAGGAAUACCGAUGGCGAAGGCAGCCCCCUGGGCCAAUACUGACGCUCAUGCACGAAAGCGUGGGGAGCAAAACAGGAUUAGAUACCCUGGUAGUCCACGCCCUAAACGAUGUCAACUAGUUGUUGGGGAUUCAUUUCCUUAGUAACGUAGCUAACGCGUGAAGUUGACCGCCUGGGGAGUACGGUCGCAAGAUUAAAACUC
rnacentral:rRNA from 1 species